UGCAAAACCAGUCAGUCUCGAACAGGCGUGUAGCUGAAAGCGUAUAACGAAAUCGAUAACUUAAUUACCAUUUGCAAACACCGAAACGACGUGUAACGUCACAAUUUAAACAUCCGCUAUUACAGGUGUAUCGAUAUAAAUACCCUAGCUUAUAUACCGUUCAUCGAUUUGUCGACGAAUGUACGCGCAAAGCGUGUCUUACGACCAGGAGAGCAUUAGAAGAGGAGAAUUUAAAAGAGCUGUAAACACCAUUGAAAAAAAAAAAAAAAAACAUUAUUUCUCAAAAACUACACCGAGGAAAAGUUUCGUUUAGUACAGUGUUCGACAACGAUGGGACCAAUGGCAAUAAUCGUCAUUGUUACUUCACAAUAACUACUUGAACGAGACACGCGACUCAGCCCUUUGUUUUCACGUGCCAACCCUUGAUCGCCACCUCAGUCCGACGAAUAAUCGAUUCCCGUGUGUUUAUUUUUACCUAUAAUAUACACCGCUAAUUAAACUCGGUAGCUGUUACGCCGCACGUGGUGAAAAUUUACUGGAGACGAUUUUUAUCAUACUUUGUUACAAUUCAUUUACGAGCAUUUGGUUUUUUUUUUUUCUUAUGGUUAUUGUUAUAAUAUUAUACAGCAAGUGUUAAAAUCCUGCAUGAGGUGACGGAAAGAAGAGAAACAUUUUUUUCUAGUGAAAAAGAUUAUUAUUUUCUACAU
rnacentral:lncRNA from 1 species